rnacentral:antisense_RNA from 1 species
CUUCAACGACCCCAGGAGCAGAGGCUGUUCACGGUCCUGCCCAUACGUCGCCAGCAGCGCCUGUGCCUC